AGACGCCCGACGUGUCGCAGUACUACGCGUACGGUGGAGGGUGGUAUGACAAGGCCGGCAACUACUGCUGGGUGACUGCCGACGGCCGGCUGCACACGCUCAGGCCCGGGGCGAGCGCGCCCAUCG
rnacentral:ribozyme from 1 species